rnacentral:rRNA from 1 species
UACAGAGGGGGCAAGCGUUGUUCGGAAUUACUGGGCGUAAAGGGCGCGUAGGCGGCCUUCUAAGUCGAACGUGAAAUCCCCGGGCUCAACCCGGGAACUGCGUCCGAUACUGGAAGGCUUGAAUCCGGGAGAGGGAUGCGGAAUUCCAGGUGUAGCGGUGAAAUGCGUAGAUAUCGAGAGGAACACCUGCGGCGAAGGCGGGUUGCUGGGCUGACACGUGACGCUGAUGCGCGAAAGCCAGGGGAGCGAACGGG